CAUUUUUCCAUGUUCAACGUUUGACCAUUCGUUUUAUUUAAAUUUUUUUUGUGAUUAAUGUUUUUAUUAUUACUAGAUGAUAAAAUAUGAAUAAUAUUUUAUACUUGACUAAUUUUUUUAGAUUUUUUCAUAAUUUUUUUAAAUAAGACGAAUAGUCAAACGUUGGACACGGAAAAAC
rnacentral:pre_miRNA from 1 species